CUACAGGGGAAGUCGGUGAUCCUAUGCUGCCAAGAAAAUCUUCUAGCGAGGUUCGAGCCGCCCGUACCCCAAACCGACUCAGGUGGUUAGGUAGAGAAUACCAAGGCGAUCGAGUGAAUCGUGGUUAAGGAAUUCGGCAAAAUACCCCCGUAACUUCGGGAGAAGGGGGGCCCAGAGGGUGACGGGACUUGCUCCCCGAGCCUGAACGGCCGCAGAGACCAGGGAGAAGCGACUGUUUACUAAAAACACAGGUCCGUGCCAAGUCGCAAGACGAUGUAUACGGACUGACGCCUGCCCGGUGCUGGAACGUUAAGGGGACCGGUUAGCCUCACGGCGAAGCUGAGAACUUAAGCGCCAGUAAACGGCGGUGGUAACUAUAACCAUCCUAAGGUAGCGAAAUUCCUUGUCGGGUAAGUUCCGACCUGCACGAAAGGCGUAACGAUUUCUCCACUGUCUCAACCACGAACUCGGCGAAAUUGCACUACGAGUAAAGAUGCUCGUUACGCGCAGAAGGACGGAAAGACCCCGGGACCUUUACUACAGCUUGGUAUUGGUGUUCGGUACGGCUUGUGUAGGAUAGGUGGGAGACUGUGAAGCUGACACGCCAGUGUCGGUGGAGUCAACGUUGAAAUACCACUCUGGUCGUUCUGGAUAUCUAACCUAGGUCCGUGAUCCGGAUCAGGGACAGUGCCUGGUGGGUAGUUUAACUGGGGCGGUUGCCUCCUAAAAGGUAACGGAGGCGCCCAAAGGUUCCCUCAGCCUGGUUGGCAAUCAGGUUUUGAGUGUAAGUGCACAAGGGAGCUUGACUGUGAGACUGACAAGUCGAACAGGGACGAAAGUCGGGACUAGUGAUCCGGCGGUGGCUUGUGGAAGCGCCGUCGCUCAACGGAUAAAAGGUACCCCGGGGAUAACAGGCUGAUCUUGCCCAAGAGUCCAUAUCGACGGCAUGGUUUGGCACCUCGAUGUCGGCUCGUCGCAUCCUGGGGCGGGAGUAGGUCCCAAGGGUUGGGCUGUUCGCCCAUUAAAGCGGUACGCGAGCUGGGUUUAGAACGUCGUGAGACAGUUCGGUCCCUAUCCUCUGCGCGCGCAGGAAACUUGAGAAGGGCUGUCCCUAGUACGAGAGGACCGGGGUGGACGAACCUCUGGUGUGUCAGUUGUUCUGCCAAGAGCACCGCUGAUUAGCUACGUUCGGGAGUGAUAACCGCUGGAAGCAUCUAAGCGGGAAGCAUGCUUCAAGAUGAGGUUUCCAUGGGGUUUACCCCGAGAGGCUCCCAGCUAGACUACUGGGUUGAUAGGCCGGAUGUGGAAGUGCGGUAACGCAUGGAGCUGACCGGUACUAAUAAGCCGAUAACUUGAC
rnacentral:rRNA from 1 species